rnacentral:rRNA from 1 species
UAAGAGGUCUAGCCUGCCCAGUGACACUAGUUCAACGGCCGCGGUAUCCUGACCGUGCGAAGGUAGCGUAAUCAUUUGUCUUUUAAAUUAAGACUCGUAUGAAAGGCACCACGAGAAUUAAACUGUCUCCUUUUUCUAAUCUAUGAAACUGAUCUCCCCGUGAAGAAGCGGGGAUUUUAAUAUAAGACGAGAAGACCCUAUGGAGCUUCAGACGAAUAACAAUGCCCCCCCCCUUUUUUCUUACCAAAAUACCAGGGCAUUUUAAUUAUUUAGUCUUGGGUUGGGGCGACCAUGGAGUAAAAAUCACCCUCCAUGCUGAACAGGACCUCCUUAAAUAAGAGCAACAGCUCUAUGAAUCAAUAAAUUGACACAUUUGACCCAAUUACUUGAUCAACGAAACAAGUUACCCUAGG